rnacentral:lncRNA from 1 species
ACGCUAUGAGACACGUAAGCCCUUCUCCCACCAGUUUGUUUCAUCUUUUUCUUCUAUCUUUUCCUUUUUCUUUCACUCCCCUGUCCACCCCACUUCAGUUGAACUCAUUCGUUCGCCCAUAUUUUCUUUCACCUUGGAAUGUUUGUUCUCUUUUUACAAUGAUAACCCCUUUUGAGGUUCUUUAGUAUUUCAAUUUAUUACAGCAUAACUUUUUUCUAGAUACCUACGGCAGUGGGGGAUGUGGGUAUUUGAUUUUUUUUUUUUUUUUGGGGGGUCGACAUAGAAAUCAAGUUUUAGACCUUGCCAAACUUCUUUAUCACUGUAGAAAUCACUGGUCGCCUGCUCAUUUUGUAAAUGUUUAGGGAUUUUUAUUUUAUUUUAACGGUUAUUGGAUAUUCAAAUUAUGAAAAUUUAAGCUUAGGGUAUAGUUUAGCCUACCUGCAUCUUCCUCUGGCGAACUCCUAGCUUCCUCUUUCUCCGGCGAAAUUGAUGGGUAAGUUGCAUUCAUGUGUGUAUCUACAUUUAUCCAUAUGGUUUACAUGAAUUUUGAUUCAGUUCUUGCAACCCGUUUUUGUAAUUUGAAGGAAUUCUUUUGUUCUGUGAAAUUUGAUUUGAUGAGUCCUUUGAAAGGAAAUUUGAUAGAUCUUUCUGUUGUCUCAAUGGGUUUUCUUGAAUUUACAUGUUGUAAAUCAUAAGCUAGAGAGUCAAGUUGUUGAGAUUAAGGUGAAGGUUUUUGGUAUGGAAUCCGGGUAUUUAGUGAUGUGAGAAACUGUUUUUAUUUUAUUCCUUUAAAGAAUAUUCACUUGAUUUUCGAGCAUGGCAUGCUCCUUCAUGUACCAGGAAGUAUCGCCUAAUCUUACUCACUUAUGCGGAAUACUUACAUUUUUCUUUUCUUUUCUAAAUGUAAGCAUUCCCCUCAAGUCUGCGCCAAAUGAGGAAAAAAGGAUUAUUACAGUUUCUGGUGUUUGCUACUGCCCGUUGCUCAUAGAAAUACCUAAGUCGAAUAGGUAGUCCAUAUUUGAGUUGUAAAUAGUUGAAAUUCUAUUCUUCUUCUCUUGACAUGUGUGAAGAUCAUUGGCUUGAUUGUAUUACUUCGAUCUGAAAGUGAACAAAAGAAUGAUGUUACACUUUCACAUACCAAUAACCCAAAAGAUCAGAUGAGUUACUCAUUGCUUUCUACUUUUCCAGAUACUGUAAAAGUGUGAUCUGCUUUUCACAGGAGGACCAUGCUACGCCAACUUCAUCAGAAAUUGUGGGGUAGAAAGGUGAUUGUUACCCGAAUGUAUAG